rnacentral:lncRNA from 7 species
CUGGACCAUAUAUCAAGGUACAUCGUGACAAGCAUGGUUAGCAGUGUCAAAUUUGGUUAGAACUUAGAACUGUUAAACUGGACGAUGAUUAUCAGCCUCGACGACACAAGACAUAUUUUCCGAUGCUUAUAAAAUGCAUUUUCGAGACUACGAAAAAUCCAAAGUGUAGAGAAAGAAAUGCAUCUGUUUACCAAAGCUUCAGCUCGUAGUCGGUGUCGCGCCCCUUCCGUGUUUCUCGGCAUCAGUGCUCUUCUUCAGAACCGUCUGCCAGCAUUGACGGAUGCUGCAAGUUUGCACAGCGCCAUUGCCCCUUUUCAGCUGCCUCUCUCCUUUCCUUUUGCAAGUGCCACACGCCAAAACUUCACAAAUCACGGCUCCUAUGAAGAAAUGAUGGGUAUUGGCCCUGGUUGUUUGCUGUCGCAGGCAACGGCAAAGAGCAAGACAGCAAGUAGUAUCUCUAAAGAAAGAGCAUCCAGAGAAGACGAAUUGACGAAAGGCACUUUGCUCUCAGUAGUGGAUGCUAGGUAAG